CAUGAAAGCAUAUGUAUGUAUAUAUUGGGUUGUCAGGAAAGUAAGUGCCGAAUUAUAGCAGCUUAUCUUUCGACUUAUUUUAGAACAUGGUUGAGUCCAUAAAAUAGGAUUUGACUACACCUCCAUUUAGA